rnacentral:tRNA from 13 species
UCCGAAGUAGCUCAGUGGUAGAGCAAUCGGCUGUUAACCGAUUGGUCGUAGGUUCGAGUCCUACCUUCGGAGCCA